GCAAUCAAUAAGGUAGUGGUAACCUGGGUCGUUGUCAUCGACCCGCCGGGGGUUCAACUCCCCCUUGAUGCG
rnacentral:tRNA from 1 species